rnacentral:rRNA from 1 species
AUGGCACUCUUCUCGUGUCCAGACCUUCUCUUCUCCUUGCUUGUCCUGCUUCUCUCCUUGCUCUGUUUAGUCAAGUUGAGAAGUUCCAAUAUGGCAGCGCUCCCUAGGGAAUGGCCACUGGUUGGCAUGUUCCCUUCCCUCGUGGCUAACCUCCACCGCUUCCAUGACUACAGCACCGCCUUCCUUGCCGCUUCGGGCGGUAGCUUCGUGUUUCGUGGGCCGUCUCUCUCUGGCAUGCGCUUCUUCUUCACCUGCGACCCCGCGAACAUCCGCCACAUCUUCGUCUCCAACUUCACGAACUACCCCAAGGGUGUGGAGUUCGCGGCCAUCUUCGACAUCAUGGGGGACAGCUUCUUCAACGCAGACGGCGAGUCGUGGCGCCGCCAGCGUGAAAAGGUGCAGCACCUCGUGUCCAGCCCACAGCUGCUCACUUACAUGGCCUGGUGCUGCCGUGACAAGGUGGAGGACGGCCUCCUCCCCUUCUUGUCGCGAAGCAGCCACGCAGAAGUUCCGAUUGAUAUUCAAGAACUGUUUACCAGGUUCACAUUCGACAUGACGGCCAGGUCGGUCUUCGGGGUCGACCCUGGUCUCCUGUCAGUAGAUAUGCCACCCCUGACUGUGCCGAACGCCAUGGAAGCCGUCAUGGAUGUAGGCUUCUUCCGGCACACGGUGCCAGCUUCUUGCUGGAGGUUUAUGAAGCGUGUAAAAGUCGGCCCAGAGCGGCAGCUCGCGGCAGCGCAGUUGGAGCUCCGACGAUUCGUUGCCGAGAUGUUGGAGAAAAGGAGAGACGGACCAGUCCACGUGGAUGAAGUGCGAGAAGAAAGGAACGAGGAAAUUGUUUCUUCCUAUCUCCACGACCCAGAGUACAGUGACGAGAACGGAAGACCUAAUGCCUUCCUCUACGCAACCCUGAUCAAUUACAUGUUUGCCGGGCGUGACACGGCCGGCAUGAGCAUGACCUGGUUCUUCUACAACCUCAUCAAACACCCGCAUGUGGUGUCGGCCAUCAGAGUGGAACUAGCACCCAUUGCCAUGCACAAAGCUGCAACCUCCACCGGCAACAACCACAUGGUAAUCUUUGACCCCGAGGAGACGAAACCGCUCGUCUACCUCCAGGCGGCAUUGUUCGAGUCGAUGAGGCUGUACCCGCCGGGUCCGAUCGAGCGCAAGACGGUGAUGGCAGACGAUGUGCUGCCCAGCGGGCACAGGGUGCAGAGGGGUGAAACCAUCCUCAUCGCGCUCUACUCGAUGGGCAGGAUGGAAGGUGUGUGGGGCGAGGACUGCCACGAGUACCGGCCAGAGAGAUGGGUCAAGGAGGACGGCAAGCUGCUGCACGUGCCGUCGUACAAGUUCCUAGCCUUCAACGCCGGGGCAAGAUCAUGUUUGGGCAAGCACAUCUCGGUAGUGCAGAUGAAGAGUGUGAUCGCCGCCAUGGUGUGGAACUUCGAUUUCGAGAUGCUGACACGACACGUUGUAGAGCCCAAGCCGUCCGUCGUGCUCAAAAUGAAGAAUGGGUUGCUGGCUAAGGUCCACAAACGGCGGGUCGAAUAA